rnacentral:lncRNA from 1 species
GGCUCGUACAAAGCCAAGUGCCCGCAAACUGGACGGUGGUAAAGCACCAGGAAGCAACUGGCUACAAAAGCCGCUCGCAAGACUGCGCCCUCUACUGGAGGGGUGAAGAAACCUCAUCGUAAUAGGCCUGGUACUGUGGCACUCCGUGAAAUUAGGCGUUAUCAGAAGUCCACUGAACUAAUUCGCAAACUCCCCUUCCGGCGUCUGGUGAGAGAAAUUGCUCAGGACUUUAAAACAGAUUUGUGCUUCCAGAGCUAUCGGUGCUUUGCAGGAGUCAAGUAAGGCCUAUCUUGUUGGCCUUUUUGAAAACACCAACCUGUGUGCUAUCCAUGCCAAGCAUGUAACAGUUAUGCCAAAAGAUAUCCAGCUAGCACUCCGCACACGUGGAGAACGUGCU